UUAUCAGCGACCUGCAGGCCCACUGGCGGCCUUUACACUUACAGCUGGUCAGCGGGGUGGGACAGGGUGGAAGCUAAAUGGCUGCUCUAAAACGCCUUGGUGUAAACAACCCGGGGAAGGACUUCCUUGAACUGCCAGUUACCUGAGUGCGAUCCAUCUCACUAAAGCGUCUGCCCCAAGAGGGGUAGUAUCACCAGGAAAGAAAACAAAUAAAAGACACCCAGCAUGUCGCAGUGCAGGCACAGGCUGGGGAAUGCUGUCCCUUUGAGGGGGUGAGGGAUCCUCAGCAAGGAGCUAUGGAUCACACAUUUUGGAAGAGGCUGUGCUACUAGCCAGAAACUUUCUUCCUAAUGGAAGCCCAGCUAACCACAGGAUCUGCUGCAGACCACAGACCAGCCAAGCUCUACUAAAGAUGUCCCUCUAGGUUGGAAUGCAGACCACAGUUUGGAAACCACUGGCUUAUGAAAUAAACAAGAUAAUAUUUCAACCUAUACCGUCAAACAUGCUUUUCUUGAAGGACUGUCAGGGCUGUGUAAGAAAUAAGGUCAUGUCUAUAGGAUUGUCCCAGAAGCUCUGAGGAAAUACAGUGAACUCUGUUCUUCCAGAAAUCAGCACAAAUGUAGACAACUGAUAGAGAAUGGUAAUUUUUCAUCUACAAAGCCUGCAAAGGUAAUUCAGAUACUACCAUCAGAACUCUUGAAUUUUGCAUCAUCAAAACCUUCAUUAAAAACUAAAAUGUGCGUCAAUGCACGAUAACCAGCACCACAAACUGUGAUUUCACUUCACACAGGAAAAUGUCUCUCUGGAUGUGUCAGAGCCAGGACCAGUACCAAGUUAAUAUUUACCAUGCAUCUAAGCAUGAGAAAUUUGUGCCAAACAUUUCAUUAUUAUGAGUUUGAUCAUUCAUAUGUGACCUCUUUGACUUUAAAGGUAAGGAAAGAAAAGGUUAUUAUAGAAAAUGGAGACAUUUCCUGACAAAGCCAGAAUUACACAAUUUUGAAAGAUAAUAUUUAACCUCUGGAGAUGCCAAAAUUCUUUGGACUGACGCAGAAGUUAUAAAGACAGAUCUUGCCAAAUGUAGAGUAAUUUUUGAGGAAUUAUUCCUUUUCACAAUGCUAAUACAAAAAUCCUUGGACAUAAAACUGAGAACUCUGAAACAGGAAGGAGAAAUGAUAGAUGCUUUAAAAAACAAGUCUAUUUAGAAGCCACUUGUCUGAAUUUUGUAACGUCCACUGACAAUAACAUAUUUUCAUCCUUGACUGUAUUUUACAAGUUCAUUUCUUCAUGGACAGAAACCAGUAUAUUUAGCCUCUCAAAAUAUGUGUUUUAAAAGCAGAUAGUGAUUGCUUGCUUCUAUGUUCUAUAAAAGAAAGGAAAAUAAAAAGGACACUGAGAAAUAAUGCAAGCAUAUACACAUUGGGCCACAUGUAUAAACCUGUUCAUACACUUACAUUGAAAUUGAUUAACACAAUUGUGAAGAAGUGGAAUUAACAAUGGAGUUGUUCCUUUUCUGCAAUAUCCCACUUUUAGAAUAAGGAAUUCCAUAUUAUUUGCUUCUGCAGAUGGCAAAUAUACUUCCUCUGAAACAGAGCUUCCUAUAUAGAGUUUCUGUUUAUAGAAACAUCGAACACAAAUAGUCCUCUUAUUUAACUGAAUGACUUCUUUUUGGUUUUGUUGCUGUUGAAUGAUUAAACCACAACAAAAGCUAAAGCACUACACUGUAGUAAUGUGAAAUCAAAUUCUGCAUUGCAAACUCCAAAAAUUUCAGACUUUCUAGAAUGCUUGCAUUCAGGACAUAUUAAGGAAAAUUCCACACAAAUGAAGAAUGUCAUAAUAGCAAAGAAAAAAGGAGAGAAACAGGGAGGGAGGAAACAGCAAAUACUGAGAACACAACAUCUGUAAAAUGCACCAACAAUUCCAAGCUUGCAAUGGGCUGUCACUGUACACGCAAUGAGGAAAUUUCAUUUUAAAGUUACAAAAAUGACCUUGCUUUGAACCAAGUGAAUGUGAUUAUUUCUGAACUGAACAGAAAGUAAAGAAGUUUGGAUUAAAUGUUUUACCAGUGCCAAUGUCCCAGAACUUUCUUUGGCUCUAUAUUCUCUUUUCCUAUGUUUGUCAGCUGAAUUUAAUGUUCUCUUCUUUUUUGUCUCCUGGUCUCUUUGACCUUAAUGUGACAUUUUAGUUGAGUGAUUAAUUACUAUUAAAUGGCACUGCAUUUAUUAAAUGGAGUCCUUGUCUGUGUAAGAGCACAGUCACAAUGCAACGAUUCAGUUUGAUAAGCUUAAAUAUACACAGUUAGAUGUGGUAAUAUCUAAUUUGUCAAGGAUCUUGUGGCUAGCUUUUCUGCCACACAGCUAGAGAGGAGAUGUGAUUGCACAAAAAGCUUAAUAUUCUGAGCUUAAAUGUUCUCAGUAAAUUGAUCCUCUCCAUCAUGUAAUCUUAUUUCAGAGUGUGCAGGAGACAGCAAAGUUCCACACAAGCCUAAGUUGCCUUAAUAGUAGGCCUGAGGGUUCCUGACCAUAGAAAUAAAAGCUAUGUGACAAGAUUUGUAUGUCUCUUUUCAGCAGACAACAGCUGACUCCCCCUGCCAGAAGCUUUCUUUCUGGGUUAAUUGAAUAAAAAGAAGAACUAAUGUCAGUAAAAGGAUGAAAAGUUCAUUGAGAAAGAAAAGAUGCAUCUAUACAUCUACCUAAGUCAAAAAGAGAUUGUGAAUAUUUAGCUUAUUAAGUGAAACACCAGCACCUGACCUUGUAAUCAGCCAGGUUAUUAUUCUGUCAGUUAUAUUCUCCAAGCACUGCUUUACUCUUUUCUUAUCUAACAGCUGAUUUGGAACUUUUUUUCAGACUAUAAUGAAUCAUCAAAGCAAAACUUCUUGCAUGCAAAAGUGGGAAUCCAGAUGCAGACCUUCACCAGAGACACAUUUACACAUGGUCAGGGAACCGCUCCCCCCUUUCUGCUGGAAAAGUGAAUCACAAAACCAUAAUACAGAAGCAUCAUCUCUGCAUGAUGAAGGGGCAAGCUGAACUCCAUGCACAAGGAGAUACUCGAGCUUGCAUGUUCUGCAUGUUCUGUGCCACCUGGAGACAUCGAAAGAG